rnacentral:rRNA from 1 species
CGCUNAUUGANGCUUCGGCUGGAUUAUUUUUAUCACCCUUGUCUUUUGCGCACUUGUUGUUUCCUGGGCGGGUUCGCCCGCCACCAGGACCACACCAUAAACCUUUUUUAUGCAGUUGCAAUCAACGUCAGUAUAACAAAUGUAAAUCAUUUACAACUUUCAACAACGGAUCUCUUGGUUCUGGCAUCGAUGAAGAACGCAGCGAAAUGCGAUACGUAGUGUGAAUUGCAGAAUUCAGUGAAUCAUCGAAUCUUUGAACGCACAUUGCGCCCUUUGGUAUUCCAAAGGGCAUGCCUGUUCGAGCGUCAUUUGUACCCUCAAGCUUUGCUUGGUGUUGGGCGUCUUUUGUCUUUGGCCUCGCCCAAAGACUCGCCUUAAAACGAUUGGCAGCCGGCCUACUGGUUUCGCAGCGCAGCACAUUUUUGCGCUUUGCAAUCAGCACAAGGACGGCAAUCCAUCAAGACUACAUUUUUACGUUUGACCUCGGAUCAGGUAGGGAUACCCGCUGAACUUAAGCAUAUCAAUAAGCGGAGGAAA